CGAUAUCUAUACUCAUUUUGCCAUUUUCUUCAUUUCAGAGCUUCCUCCCAAAAUUUUCCCUCCCUCUCUCCAUCUACCCAUUUUCUUCCCACCGUCGACCACCAAACACGACCCGCCACCGCCGUUCUCCACGCACGACCGGCCACCGUCGUUCUCCAUCUUCGGCCAACUCCGUCGUUCUUCCAGUUCCGGUUGUCUUCCAUCUCCGGCCGUCCCCAAAACCACUACAAACGGCCACCAUCGUUCUCCAUCUCCGGCCAAAACCCAACCACCGCGCGUUCUCCAAAUCCGAUUCGGCUCCGACAACUCAACCACCGUAUCGCCACGAGCAGCCCCAGCCGAAACACCACCGCCGACGAGCCCAUCCACCGGAAGAGUUCAGAUAUGGGAGGUCAUUGUAGGUGCUGAAGACCUUGUUGAUUGAGAAGGUGUAUUUUUUACCAUGACAUGUUUGAGCAGAGGAUGAGAGGCGUUGGGAUAAUUAGUUAUUAGAGUUUUGGUUUGCUUUCGCCUGUUGCCAUUUAUGUUCAUGAAGCAGUUCCACGAACAAUACUCUCUUUAGUGGAAAUGUUUUUUGCUAAUUAAUUUGUAAUCUCUUUGACAGUGAUGAUGAGCUCUUAGAAGUAAAGCUUGAUUAUCUAUGUGCAUGUAUAUUAAUACAUUAUUAGUCAUUAAGGAAGUGUGUACUUACAGAAAAGGAGAGACUUGAUUUGUAGCUCAAGUUGAUAUCUGUUAUUUGAUUAGCAAUGAUGCAAUCAUGUAAGAUAGGUUGCCAUGUCUCUCUAUGUGGAUCUUUGGUUUCACUCGAUGCAGAUUCAGUGAAGCAGAUGGCCCCAAGUGGAAAAUGUGUUUGAAAUAAUGAGACAUUGAUUCUGUAUUUAA